rnacentral:lncRNA from 1 species
ACACACACACACAACUAGUGACAAAAUUAAGCAAUAUUUCCAGAAGCUUCCUCAGCCUGUGUCCUAGUAGAAGUAAUCCCUUAGAUCACGCACCAUGCCAAGACAGUAGGGUUACCUGAAGACUUAGCUUCAAGACCCAUUAAGAAUGUGCAAAUCAGCCAUAAGCGACAGAGUAUCUGCUACUUCCCUUCAUCUAUGUUUGUGCACGUGGUACUGCAAACAAAUAACCACAGGCUCCCCACAGGAACAGCCUACGUGCAUAACACAGGACAUAAAUAGCUGGUGAAGCACCUCAGGUGAGUAUUUGGCAGUACAGAAUACAACUUGCUAACUAUACUGUACUACAGAAACUACGUACUAGACUUCUGUUACAGGGGGUUGUUUAAUAUUUCUUUGUUGUACAAAUAGGCCACUGAAACAAAAACUGUUAGGGUGAACACAAAGAAAAGCUUCAUAACUGCCAACCAUAGCAGGCCAAGGUGUAACAUACAGUGUGCACCUCCUGAUCAUCUUGGACUCUGAACAAUCCAUGAUGUAAAAGACCUAGGGUUACUCUGAAUAAUGUUCGUACACGUUCAUGUUCUCUGUGGGGUUCUUAUACCAAAUGCAUUCUGAACUUUGGAUGCCGGAAGAGAAGCAGCUUCCACACUGUCUUUAAUCAGCAGCUAUGCAGACAGCAAACAAGCUUCUGGCAGAAAACAGAGGUGACCUCAGAAAGCAGCUCUUUGCCAGCUGGGUACUCUUAAAAAAAGCUUAACUGGAAACGUACAGGAAGGCAUGCUGGAAGAGUUCUUUCAGAGUGAAGCAUUUACCUCAGCUUGUGCUGUUCAAGUGUCAGAUGUCAGACACUGACUGAGAUCAGUUAGAGGCUACCUUUGUUUCUCACUUAGUAAAAAAGCCAACAACCAUUCCUGAGCUCCUGAAAACAUAUUAGGUUUUGCAAGACUCGCGUGAAAGUCUGUACCACUUCAGCUGUUCAGUAGACUACCACUGCCCAAUUAUCUUCUGAUGUUCAUUAUUUGGAGAACAUAAGAUGAAGUUUAUUGCAGUUUUCUGGAAUUACAACCAACCAGACAACGUAUGUACAAAGCUGUGAUUAACACCAGUGAAUAUAUGGUAACUCCCUGCAGGAUGACAAAAUGAGGAUGGAAGUUAGUCUAGCCAGUAGCACAGUUUCAGCUGCGGUAUUUGCUUCAUAUUCUGUCCACUGGAAAGAUUCCACUGGGAGCAAUUAGAUGACUAACGGUAUGCAGUAACCAUGCACAUAAGUUAUGUUCUGAAGUUUAAUGCCAUUUGGUCAGCAAUCUUGAUACAUGGAAAGUUAUAAAAGCUUUCAGACACAAGGUAGAUUCAACCGCUUUAAAAACACAUAGAACUUACAAGGAAGUCACCAACAGCAAGAUGAAUAUACAACAUCAGUCCAAAGCCAUAAAACACUGCUGUUCUCCCUUUCUGUAUACUCCAGCUAGGAGAAAAUGGAUUUCAAUAGUGAACACAUUCCUACAAAAUACCCUAUAAAAUACCUGUGAGAUUUGGAAUAUAAAUACAUUUUAACUGGGGCAAGCAACAGUCCUAAAACUGGCAAUUAUUUCAAGGUAAGACCGCUAGCAAUAAUGCAAUCUGCUAUAUUCCCAUUUGAAAUACUCACCUGUUCUAUUACCUCAGGUAAUAAGGAGGUGGCAACAGAACCGCUCAUUUCUCAACAAAAAGCUUGCCCUGAAGAUAAUCUAUUCGAGCAUAAUCUGAAAGCUGUCGGUCUGAUUCUCACUUAUUCUUUCUAUUCCCUAACGACAAUUGGCAGCAGUUGCAGGGUUUUUGAAAUUCUAGGAUCGGUAAAUACAAUAAAUAUCGAUUGGCAUCUAUUACACACUGAACAGCAAGAAAUAAAUUCUGUGCUGCUACCAAAUUUCAGUUGUGCACCGGCAAUCAAGUACAGUUGGAUUGGUUAUGCAGAACCUACUUAAAAUAGGGUCUUGUUUAAAAACUCAUAACCUUCUACAAAACAAAACAAAACAGGUGCUUAAUUGGAUGUAACUGUUUGGAAAAAUACAAAACUCAACCCUUAACUCAGCAUACAGUAGAAUUUACCCUCAGGAAAUAAAGGGUCACUUCCAUGAGCUACCACUCCCCUCCAGGUAUACAGGCAGCCCUUACUGUCAGCUCUUUAUAAUCAGCAGUAGAUCACCUAUGCAUAAAGACACCAACCCCUUCCAUCCUGCUUAUUCACUUGCAGUUCGACUGAAGUCUCUCACACGUGUGAAGGUUUGGAAGAUCGAGUCUUAACAGUCAAUGGAAACUCACGUAUUUGAAGAAAUGAGCCUGAAGAUUUCAGAAAGCCUGACUUUCCCUUUUUAAGAUAUAUACAGUCAUAUGUACAUAUUCACAAAUCUGUCCUAUGAAAAGAGGGAGCUUAUUACAGAAAUCGUAGUUUGUCUCAGUUCAUACAAUUUAGAAAGCAAAACGAGAACAAAUCAACGUAAAUAUCUACAUACAGAGUACAACAGAGCAACUAUGGAAUAGACAAUGCUGUAUUGUGAUCUCUCAUCCCCAUAACUCCUCUGUUCUUCCAAACUUGUAGAUCAGAGUACUGAAAAAUAUCAAUGCAUUCUGGAAAAACACUGCUAAUCCAGGGUAAACAUUAGUGUUCUGUGUAACAUAUGCUCCAAAAAGAAUCCACAUUGAAGCAAUUAGUGAACCAAACAUCAGCAUAAAGCCAAUGAAGAGCCAGACGCGAGCACCUGUCCUUCCUAAGCAUCCAUCACUGUAGCUGUCUCCUCUCACCUGGGCAUUUGAUACAGCAUUUAUCAUGAAAAAAGCUAGCGUUGAAAACACCCCACAGGUAUGGAACGCGUGGUUCAUUUGUUCUGGCUUAGGGUAAACUACUGCAGCAUCUAUCAUUAUCCACCAACCUGUGAAAAACAAUACACCCGCGACUAUGGAAGCAAUGGCAUUUCUUCUUUCACUCCAGUCAAUACACUCACAUUCUGGCCACCGGAAGUUGUCCAAGAAUCCUGCCAUUUCCUCACAGAUUAGAUUGCCGUUCUUGUUCUGCACUUAUACAUGAAUUCUUCCAUUAACAGCAGUGUUCUGAGUACCCCCCGUCCUGAGCGAGACUCUUCCGCCUGCCGGGGGGGCGGGGCAGAAGCCCGGGCAGAUCGGCGAGCGACGCGGCCCUCCACCAAUGGGAAGCCGGCACCACACGUCACCGGAGGCUGGGCGAGGAAGGAGCGCCGCGAUUGGGCGGCGCCUCUACCCACACGAGCGAAGCCCCGCCCCCUCUGCAUCCGCGGGCGGGGGCGGCCCUGCCCCCUCCGGCCCUGCUCCGCUGUGCGCGGGGCUCGGCGCUCUGCCCGUCGCUUUCUUCCCGUAACGCUGGAAGGGGCGGCACCGGCACCCUAGGGACAAACUAAAACAACUCUAAGAUCAUACUCUGCCUGGCACGAAAGGUUGGAUAGCCGGGCUUUAGAGAGAUGAAGGCAAAACGCAGCAGUGACAUUGAAACUGAAUUGCUCCAUCCCACAUCUAGAGCAAAUUGUAAAUUGAAAUGACCACUGUUUGUUGGUUUUUCGUUUCGUUGGUUUUGUUUUUUAAUCAUCAUUGUAAUAAUUACUGAAAAAAGUGGCUUUUGCACCUGGCAGCUUUCCAUGCUACAGGCACAAGGCUGGCUGUAAGUGCCAGGUCUCAUCUGCUCCAUUACAACCAAGUAGCUUUAAAAGGAACACAAAAGCCGUUCCGAAUGCUGACUCAUCCAUUAUGGCAACUUCGGUAUUUAAACUGCUGAUACUUAUCCUCAUGGGGAGCCAAAAUGGAUCCCAUCCGAGUCGGAUUUAUUGGAAUCUGAUUCCUGUUUACACCAAUCCAACUUACAAUUAGCUCUUUUCCCACCGGUCACUGGAGUCAUUUAAACAGCAAUUCACAUCCAAUUCCUGUGCAACGUAAUGAGAAUUAAAACCUCAUCUUUCUCAGCCUGCUACGGCGAAGGACAUUUAAACAAGGAAGGAUAAAGGUCAAAGUAAAGGGCACAGCCAGGCUUUUACUUCCACUUUGUCCUCACGGUGUUUUAUUUACGCUUCAGUUUCACGUUACAAAGACACGACGGCACCGUAGAAAUGAUUCAACCAUACGCCGAAAAGUUAAGCACGAGUUUUGAUUGAAGCAGAAGGAAAAACGAGCUGCAAUGGGAUAACUGAGGUCACUCGUUCCUUAGCAGCAUUCACAACGAAGUCAAUUAAUCACCCGCAAGUGAGCGUCACACACCCCAGUUCCCUUCAAGUGGAAUGACAGCCGGGUGGAUUCUGCAUGUUCAGUGGAUCCGAAAUGUCUCUCAUGCUACAGGUUUUAGUUAUAAAGUGCAUUCAAAAGCUUGACAAGAGAGGUGAGCCAAUAGGAUCUUAUUUCAGUGUAGUAUUGAACCACUUCAGUAGAGAAGACUUCCACCCAAACCGUUUAACACCUUCCCCUUUGUCUUCCUUUGCGUGUGAAUCAGAAGCCUCCGUGUUUUCCAUCGAAGCUUCGUAAGUCUUUUGCGCUCGGAUGAUUUCUUUGUCUGCACUGAAAUGCACCAUUUGUCUGCUCAGAAUAGGAACAACUAAAUUGAAGCUGUCGAUUCUUUUGUUUAACUUCCUGAUAUCUUCCACGAAUUGCUGACAGAUGUGAUUCCACUCCUUGAGCCUAUGCGGCACCAUGGGCUCUCCGAGCUUACUCCUGGAUACCACUAAGCUCUUUCUUAAUCUCUCGAUCGUUUCCCGGAUUUCUUUCUGCAAGAGGAUCCACUCCGGCUGGUAUCCGUUGUCUAUCAGAAUCCUGUUCAGGUUGUGAGUCAUAGGAUCGAUGUGCGGGCAAUCCGAAAACUUCUGCAAAGGUUUUCCCUUCCCACUGAGGUUGUCAAAAUCUCCUUUUGCCAUUGAUUCCUGGAUGAGGUCCUCGACCAACCGUUCGACUGCCUGAGUUAUCUUCACUUUUUUGCUCUGUCUCACAUCUUUGGCUCUCAUAAGGUCCGUUGCAACAUACUGGCUUUCCAGUUUCCGCGUUCGGUAUGCCAACACUUGCUCAGUAGCACGGUCUACUCUGAAUUGCAUGUACUGCUUUUCUCUUUGGCUUGGUGUUCCAUAACCAACACCUUCAAAGCUCAAGUAGUGUCUAUGCUGCGGCGCGUUUGAUUUCAGUUGGUCUUCCUCCUCCUCUUCCUUAUUCUCACUGGGUUUCUUUUUGUUCGCCACAUCGUCAAGCACAACUCUGUACGCUUCUUCUACUUUCAUAAAUGCUGCAGAAUCUGCUGUGAUGGAACCGCUGUCUGGAUGGUAUUUUUUGGCAAGACUUCGAUAUGAAUUUCUGAUAUCAUCGAGUGAACAACCUUCCUCAAGCUUGAGAAUUUUAUAAGAGUCCUUGACGUUCCUUUUAGGUUUGUAGCCUGACAACAUUCUCUUGCCACAGAUAUAGGAAAAUGGCUUCAGGCUUCUUGGAAUCAUUGCUUGAUGUACCAUUAAAUGAUGUCCUAUGGUGUUAGUCAGCAUCGUAUAAAACCACUUUCUAUUCCUUCAGAUGCGGAUACAUUAUAAACAAUGACCUACAAACACAUUUUAAAAAAUCAUAUUAAGUAUGUUUAUGUGAACUUUUACAGUUUGUUCAAGUCUUAUCUUGUUAUAUCACCUGAAUCAAAGAAAUCCCUACAAAAAAAUUCAGACCAGUAUACAGUGUUCUUUCUUCUGCAGACUAACAGUGAAUUCUGAAUUUCUUGUUAAUUUCUACUGAAGUAGUAGAAUUACGAUGUAAAUGAAAAUUAAAUCACAAUACAGCUUUCUCCUGCCAGAGCAACAGCAGCAUAGGUUUGUUAUGCACGUCUUGCUUCCAAAAGGGUCAAAGCUUUACUGCCUUUC